CAAUAUUUCUAAUGUAAAGACCAUCAACUACAUACAAUUGGGUUGAUGUUUGGAUAGAAAAUGCCUGAGUAGUUCUAGAAGGACUGCUGCUUAUUCAUCUGAAAAUUGUGGGCCAAUACUAUCUGCAAUAAGUAAAGCACACCAUCACAUAGCUAUGAAAAAAACUAUGUACAUGUUAUGUAAUAUCUUCUAGAUUUCAUCCUUGAGAACUUUUGUUCAUAUUCAUUGUUCAAAAAUGAAUAAAUCGUUUAGAUUUAUCAUGGUAUGGGGGCGGGAAAAAUCGAAUCCAAACAUCACAUAUUAAGUCUAAAACUAUCUGCUUUUGAGACAAUGGGCCAAGUCACAACAAUUUGCACAAACAAGAUAGGCAUCCUUUCAAAAAAUGAAAAGAGAGUAAUAGAGUUUCAGCUUGGAAAGGACGCAGUAAAGGAUGAAACUUCUUUGGAUAUGGUAGGUGACCUCCUUAAACUACUACAACAAGCUGUUGGUUUAAACAAAAUUGGUACAGUUCACAUCACUUCUUGAAUUCUUCAUCAUGACCUACAUAGACUCAAAACCCAAAAGACCAGGACCCUUUUCCUCCUCAAACCCAUGUCAAACACAACCUCUUGCCCGCCCCAAGGAUAAAUGUUAUGUUAAUGGAAAAUUGUAUUGAUGCAACAUAUUACUGAUUAGUGAAUGAUAUGAUUUGAUAAAAUGGUAUUUUUUUGGUUCCUAAGUUAUUUUUUCUCUUUUUUCUUUUCUUUUUGAAAAUUUAAAUAUGCAGUGUAGUACCCAUCUCCAACUUUUUUAUAUUUAUUUUCCUCACUUUCUAUUUCAAAAUUCUGUAAUCAAAUAUUUUCUUUUAAAUUUUAUUGAUUCUCAAAUAUUCUAUGUUCUCAUUCUUUUUUUUAUUGUGGUUCAUUAGUUGGUUAACUCAGAAUGGUGUCUCCAUUACGUGGGAAGCAACAAAUUAUAUGGUUUCCCCAUUAUUUGAAGAUGAAAAUCUCCUGUGGUGGAGCUUAAUGCUCUAUAAAACAUUGAAAGAGAAUCACAAGCAGCAUAUCCAAUUAGUGCUUCCUAAGUCCAACAUGUUCUUUUGAUUUUUUUUUUUUUUUUUUUAGCUCUUAGUGCUGUCCUUAUUUAACUUCAAGUGAAUUGGUGCUUCCUUUUUGUUUUAUUGAAGUCAUUUGCAAUUUUUGGAGUUGAGGAUAAAUGUUAUAAUGAGUCAUUGCCAUUUUCAUGAAACUUAUGCCAUUUUGGGUAUUUGGGCUAGGUUGGUUUUGGUUAUCUAUCUAUUAUUGAUGAGGCCGAGGGCAACGGCUAUACAAUAUGACACUUAAAUUUAUUUGGUUAAAUAACUCACUUUUCCCUCUUUUACGAAUUA